GCAGUCGUGGCCUAAUGGAGAAGGCGCUGGCCUCCGGAGCCAGAGAUUGUGGGUUCGAGUCCCAUCGACUGCG